rnacentral:rRNA from 1 species
GUUCUAAGUAUAAAGAGUCGGGCCUGCCCAGUGACAAAGUUCAACGGCCGCGGUACUCUGACCGUGCAAAGGUAGCAUAAUCAUUUGCCCUAUAAUUGAGGGCUAGUAUGAAUGGCUUGACAAGAACAAAACUGUCUCCUUAAAAUUUUAUAGAAUUUAGAUUUUAGGUGAAGAUACCUAAAUUAAAUUGAAAGACAAGAAGACCCUAUCGAGCUUUAAAUAAUUUUAUUAAAAAUAUGUAUUCAAAUAAUCUAUUUUAAUAAAAAAUUUUGGUUGGGGCGACUAAGGAACACUUAAAGCUUCUUUUAAUUUAAAUAAACUAAUAAGUUUAGAUCCAGAAGAUUCUGAUUAAAAGAAUUAGUUACCGUAGGGAUAACAGCAUAAUCUUUUUUGAGAGUCCCUAUCGAAAAAAAGGCUUGUGACCUCGAUGUUGGACUAGGAUAUCCUGAUAGAUGCAGAAGUCUUCGAUGGUUAGUCUGUUCGACUA